UGCUUUGCUGGAAUGGUGUGUAAAUCUGUAUGUGAUUGCAACGACACUGACCACUUUUGUUUUUAUGAGUUCACUUAGAAACUGACCGAGUUGUUCUCUUCAAGUACUCUAGUUGAUCAUACAGAGUUGGGAGGCAAAAAGGCUGAAGAUACAGAGAAGGCAAGUAAGAAUUCUCAUUGUUUGAACUGUAUCGAUUCCUCUUUUUAACUGCUUUGAAUGGCUGGAACAGUUUUUAUAGACUUAGAAGCAUAGCAGAAGCCGAAAAGGGCAGUAGGGACCAGAAGCAAAUUGGGUGUAGAAAGGAAGAGAGAGAGACCCAUACCAGAAAUUAAUUCGAUUUUUUUACAAUUUAAGGCACAACUGUGGGAAAUGCAGGUUCUGCCUUUACAUGGCAUCAGCAAUAGAAAGGUCACACUGCUUUUCUCCAAGAAAAGCUGAUCACAUUUAAUCCUAUGUCCCCUCUUCUAACCUUCUAAUUUAAUGCUCUCUGAAACACCAGAAUUCCUCUCACUAUCCUUCCUACAGCUCACAAACCAGUAAGUAGUUGCAAAACAAAUCCUCGUCUUUUGCCUUUCUAUCUAUGCAUCUCUUGGACUUGAACAAAAAAGAAAUCAUGAGCUUCUUUCUGGGACCAUAGGGACCAUGUAUGUUGUUCUUCAGGUAAAUGGCAGAGAGACAAGGACAAGAGUUGUAGCUUUCUUUCAGUUAUGAAGAGGAUUUGGCCCUGUUGGGACUAAUCUCUUGUCAGCAACAAAACGUGAUGAUGACGAUGAUGGGUCUUGAUUCUCACCCUGUGGUGGAUUCCUAGCUGGCGGAGGAUUGUGAAGCUGAUACCUUUGCAUGUGAAUGACAUAAUUGUGCAGUCCCCAUGAAGCGCGAUGCCGUAGCCUGUAGCCAUGGUGAUGGUGAUGCUGAUGCUGAUGCUGGUGGUGAUCCAUUGAUUCAUCUUGAGAGAUCCUGCUGAAUGGGGAGGACUGAGCUCUUGUGACAAUUAGGAAGAACAGAAUUGCCAAGAGAAUAUGUUUCUGGGAGAAGACAGCCGUUGAACAAGUAGGAGACAUGAUCAUGAAUGUUGGGAAGGAAAGCAACAGAAGAAGUUAGAGAGAAGGGGGGUUGUAAUGCUCCAAGACAGCAUGAACACAAAGAUACUCGGGGUGUAUUUAUAGAUGGAAGAAGCAGCACUGUUGAAGCUGUAUUACAUGCCUUGUCUCAAGGAAACAUGUCUUGAUAGUGAGAGAGAGAGAGAGAGAGAGAGAGAGAGAGAGAGAGAGAGAGAGAGAGAGAGAGAGAGAGAGAGAGAGAGAGAGAGAGAGAGAGAGAGAGAGAGAGAGAGAGAGAGAGAGUUUUUUUGAAAAGAGAAGGAAAGGGUAUUAGUUACUAGGGGAAGAAGGUUGCUGGAGGAGGGAGGCUUAAAAAUGAAAUGUAGCAUUUACAGCUGCCUACACAGUUGAGAAAAGAGAGCAAGGGCAUUCAUGGGGGGAAUGUUAUUUUCGAAUUGUUUUUGUUUAGUUUUUCUAAACGAUUAGACAAGACAGGUCUCUCUCUCUGUCUUAUUACACAAUAAUUAACAAAUGAUGAUGGAUUUCAAGUCAAUCACCCUCCUCUUCUCUCCAAUGACCAAUUUGUUUUGGUUUGGGAGGAAUGGAUGAGUAAUGUAAUUAAUGAAGCUUUGUUUUCUUGGUAAAUAUAUAUAUAUAUAUACUCUACUUUUCAUUCAAAAUCAAAC
rnacentral:lncRNA from 1 species